ACAUUUAACAUUAUGUUUUAUUUAGCUUUUCACUGGUCAAAGUAUAUAUGCUGCUGUCCUUUUUUAGUGUACUUUAUGAAUAUUUGUAAUGUACACAACAAUAUAUAAUACAUUAAAGUUUUC